AUGAAUAAGUACUAGCCUUGCCAAACUUCUGAAUUGCCAUUCUCAUGGCGGGUUGUCUUGAAAUGAAUGUUCCGCUAUUAUCUGUGGUUCAACCCUGGACAGUGUGGACAGCCAGGCCCGAUUCGAUUGUAAGAAACUAGUCGAUGGUACAGCGCAAUGGAGGCAUGAGCGAAACAACAAUUAUGUUGACAAUCCAGCUGGUUUUGGUGUAAAUCUAAGGAAUUAUUUACUUUGACACUAUCUCCCUGCUCUCAAUGAAAGCUUGUUUUGUUUUGUUUUUUGGAACUAAGACUAGGUUACAGCUCAUGAUCUUAUAUGCACAACAUGUUGGACCCAAGCCCAAGAUACAACACAAAUGCAUCUACUUCAAAUCUUAGCAGAAAAUGUGUGCUUUGCAGUAGAACACUAGAGCCUAGAACACGUUCACAUCAGCUCAUGUCCCUGAGAACUAACACUCAACAUCAUAUUAACAUCAGGAACAUAAUUGUGGAACGACUAACUCCAUUAGAGGUUACUGCAAAUGACUACAUCUGUGGGGCUUGUCACUCAUUAUUGCAAAGAGAUACCACACCUACUUCACAAGACUCUCCAGAUA